rnacentral:rRNA from 1 species
CUAAGCACACUGUUGGUUAUGUGUGCCCAAGCAUUGAGGCAGUCAAAGUAGGCAAAUCCGCUUUGAUAAUGCUGGGAUGUGAUGGGGAGCGAAAUUUAGUAGCGAAGUAGCUGAUUUCACACUGUCAAGAAAAGUCUCUAUCGAGGUUAAAGGUACCCGUACCGCAAACCGACACAGGUGGGUGAGGAGAGUAUCCUAAGGCCAGCGAGAGAACUGUUGUUAAGGAACUCGGCAAAAUGACCCCGUAACUUAGGGAUAAGGGGUGCCACCAUCAGGUGGCCGCAGAGAAUAGGCCCAAGCGACUGUUUACCAAAAACAUAGGUUUCUGCUAAGUCGCAAGACGAUGUAUAGGAGCUGACGCCUGCCCGGUGCUGGAAGGUUAAGGGGAUCUGUUAGAGCAAUCGAAGCAGUGAACUUAAGCCCCAGUAAACGGCGGCCGUAACUAUAACGGUCCUAAGGUAGCGAAAUUCCUUGUCGGGUAAGUUCCGACCCGCACGAAAGGCGUAACGAUUUGGGCACUGUCUCAACAACAGACUCGGUGAAAUUGUAAUUCCGGUGAAGAUGCCGGAUACCUGCGACAGGACGGAAAGACCCCAUGGAGCUUUACUGUAGCUUGACAUUGGGUCUUGGUACUACAUGUACAGGAUAGGUGGGAGGCUUUGAAACCAGGACG